GAUGAACGCUGGCGGCGUGCCUAAUACAUGCAAGUCGAGCGAACAGACGAGGAGCUUGCCCCUCUGACGUUAGCGGCGGACGGGUGAGUAACACGUGGAUAACCUACCUAUAAGACUGGGAUAACUUCGGGAAACCGGAGCUAAUACCGGAUAAUAUAUUGAACCGCAUGGUUCAAUAGUGAAAGACGGUUUUGCUGUCACUUAUAGAUGGAUCCGCGCCGCAUUAGCUAGUUGGUAAGGUAACGGCUUACCAAGGCAACGAUGCGUAGCCGACCUGAGAGGGGGAUCGCCCCCCUGAGAACUGAUACCCGGUCCAGCCCCCUCCGGAAGGCAGCAGGAGGGUACCUCCCACAAGGGCCGAAAGCCGGACGAGCCAGCGCCGAGUGAGUAAUAAAGUUCUCGGUAUCUAAACACUUUUUUAUUGGGAAAAAAAAAAUGUGAAAUAAACUAGCCCCGUCUUGACGUUCCCUAAUCAAAAGCCCACGCCAAACCCCGUC
rnacentral:rRNA from 1 species